rnacentral:rRNA from 1 species
AUCCUACGGGAGGCAGCAGUGGGGAAUAUUGCACAAUGGGCGCAAGCCUGAUGCAGCCAUGCCGCGUGUAUGAAGAAGGCCUUCGGGUUGUAAAGUACUUUCAGCAGUGAGGAAGGUGGGUAUGUUAAUAGCAUAUUCAUUUGACGUUUAGCUGCAGAAGAAGCACCGGCUAACUCCGUGCCAGCAGCCGCGGUAAUACGGAGGGUGCGAGCGUUAAUCGGAAUUACUGGGCGUAAAGCGCAUGCAGGUGGUUUGUUAAGUCAGAUGUGAAAGCCCGGGGCUCAACCUCGGAAUUGCAUUUGAAACUGGCAAACUAGAGUACUGUAGAGGGGGUAGAAUUUCAGGUGUAGCGGUGAAAUGCGUAGAGAUCUGAAGGAAUACCGGUGGCGAAGGCGGCCCCCUGGACAGAUACUGACACUCAGAUGCGAAAGCGUGGGGAGCAAACAGGAUUAGAUACCCUGGUAG